rnacentral:rRNA from 1 species
GACGAACGCUGGCGGCGUGCCUAAUACAUGCAAGUCGAACGCUGAAGAGAGGAGCUUGCUCUUCUUGGAUGAGUUGCGAACGGGUGAGUAACGCGUAGGUAACCUGCCUUGUAGCGGGGGAUAACUAUUGGAAACGAUAGCUAAUACCGCAUAACAAUGGAUGACACAUGUCAUUUAGUUGAAAGGGGCAAUUGCUCCACUACAAGAUGGACCUGCGUUGUAUUAGCUAGUAGGUGAGGUAAUGGCUCACCUAGGCGACGAUACAUAGCCGAGCUGAGAGGGUGAACGGCCACACUGGGACUGGGACACGGCCCCGACUCCUUCGGGAGGCAGCAGUAGGGGAACUUCGGCAAUGGGGGCAACCCUGAACGAGCCACGCCGCGUGAGGGAAGGAGGGUUUCGGGUCGUAAAGCUCUGUUGUAAGUCAAGAACGGGUGUGAGAGUGGAAAGUUCACGCUGUGACGGUAGCUAAACAGAAAGGGACGGCUAACUACGUG